AUGAGACCACCUUCCAAGGUUAACGCUAUCAUUCACAGAGGGUGGCUGGGCACCUUUCUCCCUCUGGGGGCACUUACUAAAGAACAUGUUCUGAAACACUGCAGGUUACAUCUCAAGGGGGGUGAGGGGCAUGACCCUGAUGAGCUGAACUCCCAGGAUCCUUUCAACACCAGCAAGCAACUGAACUCGGAAGGCAAUGGCUGGAGAGAAACAGGCAGAGGAAGGACUGAAGGACAGAAGGACAUGUCCCCGAUCGCCUACCUCGCAACAGUUCCCAAGAGAUGCUCUCUGAGCCACCUCUGUGGAAAACAACAACUUAGAAAAGACAGAAGUGAAUUGAAAGACCUUUUCCAGGUUUGGGGCCAAGAGACUCUCAGAAUAGUCUCGACAAACAGAAAGCUAUUAACAAACCAGCUGAGCAGGUGUUGGAGGACAUCCCAGGAGAAGGCUGGCAUAUGCUGAAAAUUGCAGGAGGCAGCUACACUCUCCAGGGACAGAGAACAAAAAGAAGAGGCCAGCAUUAUCUGGACCCAGGAUGUCAGAAGGGAAGGCCUCCUGAGUGGGGCCCAGCCUGGGGGCUGCCUGCCUCCAGGGGGACACUAGGAACUUCAGCUCAGAAGUGUUGAAAAAUCACAGAAACCAGAACUAUGAGCCUUCUCCAGAAGCCGUCCUUGAAUACCCUGACAGGAACAGGAUACAAAAGUCUGAAGACGACCCUGCAGCCUCCAGUGUGCCCUUCAUGUCUGUGGUCAGAGUGUCUCAGGGAGCCAGCCUGAGACAGAUGGAUACGACUUGCUGAUUCUUCCCUUUUCAUAAAGGCUUCAGCAGGGAUCCCCUUAAGAGGACCCCAUUUAGCAUCCCUUGCUGGGCCUUGUUGCCAGCGGUCCUGCUAGCUGUUCAGUGAAGCAGACUCCUUUGUAGGCAAAGUCUUCCAUGAAUGCACCUUCAAAGUGCCUUUCCUUCGUUUCAACUAAAACGUUUGGAGAAAACUGAGCAUGCCUGGAGGCAUUUGUGCCUGCCAUCUUUACAAAAAGCUUAAGCAAGCUGAACAUCCCCAAAGUAUUCCUGUCCACCAUAGACACAUUCUUGUCCGUGACCUAAGCAUGGUUCUAAGUGUGUCUGAGUAUGUUCAGACUCGCCAGUGAAGUCCAAGCUUCCUCUGUUCAGGGAGGAACAUGUUUGGAAAUCCCCAUUUUUAUUUACCAAUUAUAAGAAAUAAAUCUCUUUUCCUGCUCCUUCUGUCCUUCUCA
rnacentral:lncRNA from 1 species